rnacentral:rRNA from 1 species
CUGGCGGCAGGCUUAACACAUGCAAGUCGAGCGGAGUGAUGGUGCUUGCACUAUCACUUAGCGGCGGACGGGUGAGUAAUGCUUAGGAAUCUGCCUAUUAGUGGGGGACAACAUUUCGAAAGGAAUGCUAAUACCGCAUACGUCCUACGGGAGAAAGCAGGGGAUCUUCGGACCUUGCGCUAAUAGAUGAGCCUAAGUCGGAUUAGCUAGUUGGUGGGGUAAAGGCCUACCAAGGCGACGAUCUGUAGCGGGUCUGAGAGGAUGAUCCGCCACACUGGGACUGAGACACGGCCCAGACUCCUACGGGAGGCAGCAGUGGGGAAUAUUGGACAAUGGGCGCAAGCCUGAUCCAGCCAUGCCGCGUGUGUGAAGAAGGCCUUAUGGUUGUAAAGCACUUUAAGCGAGGAGGAGGCUACUGAAGUUAAUACCUUCAGAUAGUGGACGUUACUCGCAGAAUAAGCACCGGCUAACUCUGUGCCAGCAGCCGCGGUAAUACAGAGGGUGCAAGCGUUAAUCGGAUUUACUGGGCGUAAAGCGCGCGUAGGCGGCUAAUUAAGUCAAAUGUGAAAUCCCCGAGCUUAACUUGGGAAUUGCAUUCGAUACUGGUUAGCUAGAGUGUGGGAGAGGAUGGUAGAAUUCCAGGUGUAGCGGUGAAAUGCGUAGAGAUCUGGAGGAAUACCGAUGGCGAAGGCAGCCAUCUGGCCUAACACUGACGCUGAGGUGCGAAAGCAUGGGGAGCAAACAGGAUUAGAUACCCUGGUAGUCCAUGCCGUAAACGAUGUCUACUAGCCGUUGGGGCCUUUGAGGCUUUAGUGGCGCAGCUAACGCGAUAAGUAGACCGCCUGGGGAGUACGGUCGCAAGACUAAAACUCAAAUGAAUUGACGGGGGCCCGCACAAGCGGUGGAGCAUGUGGUUUAAUUCGAUGCAACGCGAAGAACCUUACCUGGCCUUGACAUAGUAAGAACUUUCCAGAGAUGGAUUGGUGCCUUCGGAAACUUACAUACAGGUGCUGCAUGGCUGUCGUCAGCUCGUGUCGUGAGAUGUUGGGUUAAGUCCCGCAACGAGCGCAACCCUUUUCCUUAUUUGCCAGCG